rnacentral:lncRNA from 1 species
CUGGCCAAUGCAUUCAGAUCAACCAAGGAAUUCUCAGCUGGUAACAAAGGUCCUGAAAACUGGCCUAACUGUGAGGCAUUGGGCACGUCGGGAUGAAUUGGUUGCAUCAGAAAUAGUUGAAAAUGCUGUGAGAACUUUGAUGGCUUCACCUGAGGGAGAUGAGAUGAGGAAGAGAGCAUCAGAAUUAAGCAUUGCUGUCAAACAAUCAGUCAUGGAUGGGGAAGGUUACGGUGCGGAGAUGAAUUCUUUUAUCGCACACAUUACUCGAGAACUUUCUCACCAGAAUUGACCAAUUGAUAGCAUAAGUGGUUCAACCUAUGAGACUUUAUCAAUGCUCUAUCACCAUCUGAGUGGGUUCAGUGUCCCCUUUUAUGCACAUCACUGCAUGUAUGUUUAAGGAUAAAAAGCUUUUCUUUAUGAGUUCCUUAUAUUUUUUAGUAUAAAUGUAAAGGUCCUCCUUUACUAGCAACUAGUUCUUUUGGCCAGAGAUAUAAAAUAUUAGAAGCUGUUUGUGUAAUCUUUCAAGAACUUUUUGCUUGUGACUACUGAGUGAUAUACUAUGUAUUUUCCAUUCUGCCAGACUUCUCAUCUUGUUAAGUGUAAUUUACAUUAUUUUCUCAACAUUAAUACUACUCAUAUUUUGCAUCUAGACAAAUAAGGAAGAGAUACGGUAAGCUUUCUUGAGAGAUUAGAUUUGAAAUUGCAAUUUGCUCUGUUGCAAAAGGAGCUGUAAAAGGGGGAAAAUCAGAAGAGUUUGAUAUAAGGUAUCUACUUUGAUCUGUAUUUCAGAUUUAGUGGUAACUGUGGAACAUAUUCAAUUCCUUGACCAAGUAAGAUUGCUAAAGUAUUUUUGAAUCUUUUGUGUCUUACAUUCUAAAAAAAACCUAAAAUACAGGAAAUGUUAGGGGUGCGUCCUUUUUCCGCAUCUUGCUAAGGGGGAUUUUGGGGCACCGAAUUUCUCUUCCUUUAUGUUUCAGUGUGGGUUAGUUUAGUCCAUAUUUCAAAUUUGAGACCUCAAAAGAUUACCUGCUUAAUCAACUAUAGUUAUAUGUAUGCUUCAUAAGUGACAAAACAUAAAUAAUUAAUGGUGUAUGCUAUUAUUAUAUUUAACAAAAAACAACAUCGUUCGUUAUAGUACAUGAUACUUGAGUUUUCCAAAGUGAAUAGAAAAAUGGUAUAUGUGAAGCAAUAAUUAGUCAUGUGUUUCAUUUUAUGUGUUACUAGCUAGCUAUCAAAAUUGACACUUAUAGCAUUGACUAAUUUAAGUUGCAACCAAAACCCACUAUUAGUGGCAACCAUUAUAGGGAUUACCGAUGAUCAAAAUAGCAGGUAAAAACAUACUUUCAUCUGAAACUUAAAUAAGAAUAAGCAACAACUGCAUAUACCCCUAAUAUUGACAUUUAGUGGCGAGAAAUUUUGCCACAGAAACAAGAUACUAGCAACGACUAAUUUUGUCACUAAAACAUUCUUUUAUUGGCGACUAUUAUAGGUAUUAGCAACUACUUAUUUUGCCACUAAAACAUUCUUUUAUUGGCGCCUAUUAUGAGCAUUAGCGGCGAUUAUUCUUGCCACUAAAACAAACUAUUAGUGGCGACUAUUAUAUGUAUUAGCAGCGACAGCUUUUGCCACUAAAACAUUAUUUUAGUGGCCACUAGUAUAGGUAUUACAACGACUAAUUUUGCCACCAAACAUUCUUUUAGUGCCGACUAUUAUGAGUAUUAGCGGCGAUUAUUCUUUUCACUAAAACAAACUAUUAGUGGCGACUAUUAUAUGUAUUAGCAGCGACUAAGUAGUGACUUUUCCGUAAAAUUUGUGACUUUUAAGAAGGGUAAAAUAAAUAAGAAUCUUGAUUUGUGACGGCGUCGCAUAGGCAGGUCGGCUGUUGUAAACAAAUGCACGUUUAUGAAGAGUGGCAAGAGUGGUAACAAAAUGAACGGAAAAAGCAGCGGUUGAAGGCUGAAACUACGUUCCUAUUGUUGAGGGGGAAGGACAGUUUUGGAAAUAAAUAAAUAAAAAAAGAAUCCUUACUUCUAGUGGCGCGACGUCACCGGGUUGAGGGUUCUCUUUUAUAUAUAUAUAUAUAUAUUCUUUAAUUUAAUAUAAUUUUAUUUUAUUUUGAAAUUAAUGAUCUGAAACAAAUCUUAGAAAUUUGUGUAGCGAUAAAUUAUUUCAAUUAAGAAUAAAAGAAAAAAAUUAAAGUUAAAAUAUGCCUAAUUAUAGAAAGGUGACAACUUUUUUUUUGUCACGAAUUAAAAAGAAAAAUAUGUCACAUUAAUUUGAACAAAUAAAGUAUACAACAAUUUCAUUAUUUUUUAGAAAAUAAAUGAUACUAACGUUUAACUUUCUUUUUUUAAUAAAAUAAAAUAAAACGCAAAUAGUAAAGAGAUUUUGUGGAUCUCCCACCAAACGUUUUCUUCAAAGUUGAAUCAUGUAGUUGAAAAUGGAUUAUAUAAUUUAAUGUUUAUUUAUAGGUGCAUUAGAGCAUUAAGAUGAGGUAAUUAUUCGGUGUAUUUUUAAAAUCAGCUUAUUUAAAAAAAAUAAAAAAUUAUUCGGUGUAUUUUAAAAAAAUACUUUUUGGAAGUAUCAGUUUAUUUGAAUAAUCAAUUUGAAAAAUAUUUAUAUUAAAACUAAAACAAUUAGUAUUCGACCAAAAUUCUAAAAGUGUUUCGAAGGUUAAAAACUAUUUCGCUUCAAGGAAAACCAACUUCUACUUUAGAUGAAAACACAUAUAUUUUUCCCAGAAGCUUUGAUCAAACACUUCAAUUCUCUAAGUGGACUCUAAAGAAGGUGAUAUGUUUGCAGUCUUAUAACUACUAUGUGAAAGAUAGAAAUAUUGUUAUCGAUAUACCUUGACUCAAGUAAAAUAUAUAAAAAUCAAGUAUCUUGAGAACUUAUUUCUAAUAAAUCCUCGGCUCAACUCUUUAAAAUAACCACAUAUUUUAUUUUAAGAAAUUCCCGACUCAACUUUCUAAAAUAAUCAUUCUUUCUUUAGAAAAAAAACUUCUUAUUUCAUUGAAACUUGACCAGACAGACUAUAAAUUAGUAUUACCUAAUUGGUGAAGAUAUCUAGAAUUUCCUUUUGUGAUAACAUCAAAUAAUGGAGAAACUACAACAACUGCUUAAUAUGGACAAAAACUGAAAAGAAAGUCUAUAAUGUCUGCUCCCAUAACAAACAUAUUAGUAUUUUGUCCUAUGAUAGAAGAUUCUAAUAAUAAAAUAAUGAAGAUCUACAAAUUAUAUAUAUUUGGAUUUUUUUACAAUGAGGAUGAUGAUAUUUUUCUUUGGUAGCUAACAACAUAUUUGUAAAUAACAUGCCAUUAUGGUUAUUAUUCAGUGAAUUUCUCGAUAAAUAUACAAAGUUUAGACUAAAGUUAUUGAGUUUUGCUGAACAUUGCGGCAAGAACAUGGGAAAGAGUAUGUAAUCAACUCAAUAUUGACUCUCUCCAGUCUCCUUUAGCACAAAACUCAAAAGAAAAACUAAGAAGCUGCAGUCCAAACAUAUAGUAUGUUAAUAUUUGAAUUGUGAACAUACAAAAGUAUGUUUUCUACAUAAAUUCAUAGUAUAGAGAAUUGAGGGUAUAACUUUUUUCGUAACCACUUGUCGGUAGUUCUACAACACAAUAACAUAUCCAGUGUAAUCCCACUUGUCGGUGGUUUUAUUACAAAAAAAACAAAGAGAUUUGAUUGUGAUUGCAUACAGAUGCCUGUUCAUUUUGUUGAGAAGGUAUCCUAUUAAUGAUUUUAAGUUUUUUAGCAGCCCACCAGCAAGUACAAGUUGGCAUUGGACUCAUGCAUUAUAAAAGAAUCUAUGUUUUCACCUAGACUACAUGUAACUCGAGACACUUCAGAAGCUCAGAUACUCAUACAACUGCAAAAUUUCAAAACAUUUCCCAAUGGCUGAGAACUACACAACAAAAAGAAAUGGCCAAAUAAGUGUUCAAGAUGCACAAGUGGCUGUGGUUAUGGUGCCACUUUCAGCACAAGGCCAUCUCAACCAGCUUCUCCACCUCUCGAGGCUCAUCACCUCGUAUAAUAUCCCAGUCCAUUAUGUUGGAGCAACCACUCAUAUUCGCCAGGCUAAGUUUCGUGUCCAUGGUUUCGACCCUGGCACAGCUAAAAACCUAUAUUUUCAUGAAUUCCCUACACCACCUUUCGAAAAUCCUCCUCCAAAUCCUAAUGCUUCAAAUAAAUUUCCUAACCAAUUAAUCCCUUCAUUUUAUGCAACAAUCCAUCUCCGUGAGCCAGUGUGCUCUCUUGUACGCCAACUACUAGGCGUCAAUCAUCGGAGAGUGAUUGUUAUUUAUGAUUCUAUGAUGAGUUGGGUAGUAGAGGAUGUACCAGCAAUUCCAAAUGCUGAGUGCUACCGUUUUAAUAGUAUCUCAGCUUUCCAUACGUUUUCAUGCAUCUGGGAAUCCAGAGGGAAACCUUUACAAGCUGGAACUGAAAUAUUCGAGGACAUUUCAUCAAACGAAAACUGUGCUACCCCAGAGUUAUGGGAAUUAUGGAGUAAACAAAAUUCCCUUGAAGGGAAAAUUAGCUCUGGAGAACUUUACAAUUCAUCCAGAGUAAUAGAAGGUUUAUACCUUGAUUUAGUAGCCAAAGAAAUUAAUGGCUUAAACCUACGGGCUAUUGGUCCAUUCAAUCCGUUGUUGCUGACUGAGCAGGACAAUGAUUCAAAUAAACGUCACAAAACCUUGGAUUGGCUUGACAAACAAGAACCGGACUCAGUGAUAUAUGUGUCUUUUGGAACAUCUACUUCUUUGUCGAAUGAAGAAAUUGAACAACUCGCCAUUGGGUUAGAGAAAAGCCUGCAAAAGUUCAUUUGGGUUCUCAGAGAUGCUGACAAAGGAGAUGUUUUUGCAGGUGAAGAAAGGAGAGCUCGGCUGCCGGAAGGUUAUGAAGAAAGAAUAAAAGGAAGAGGAAUUAUUGCAAGAGAUUGGGCACCUCAGUUGGAAAUUUUGGCACAUCCUUCCACAGGUGGUUUUAUGAGUCAUUGCGGAUGGAAUUCGUGCAUGGAAAGCAUUUCCAUGGGAGUUCCUAUAGCAGCCUGGCCAAUGCACUCAGAUCAACCAAGGAAUUCUCAGCUGGUAACAAAGUUCCUGAAAAUUGGCCUAAAUUUGAGACAUGGGGCAUGUCAGGAUGAAUUGGUUACAUCAGAAAUGGUUGAAAAUGCUGUGAGAACUUUGAUGGCUUCACCUGAGGGAGGUGAGAUGAGGAAGAGAGCAUCAGAAUUAAGUGUUGCUGUCAAACAAUCAGUCAUGGAUGGGGAAGGUACUGGUACAGAGAUGGAUUCUUUUAUCACACACAUUACUCGAUAACUUCUCAUUUGUAUUGAACAAUUGGUUGCACACUACCAUCUAGUUAACAUAAGUGAUACAACCUAUGACACUGUAUCAAUGCUCUAUCACCAUCCGAGUGGGUUCAGUGUCCACCCUACUGGCACCCCUUUAUGCACAUCACGGCAUGUAUGUUGAGGAUAAAAACCUUUCCUUUAUGAGUUCUUUGUAUUUGUUAAUAUAAAAGUGGAUGUCCUCCCAGAUAAAUAAAAUAUUGGAUGCUGUUUGUGAAUUCUUACAAGAAUUUUGUGCUUGUGACCUGAAUAACAUAGUAUGUUCUUUCAGGACUUUUAUAGCUUCUUGUCUUUAACUCUGUGACCUUGUAUUUGAUAUUCUGCCAGACUUCUCAUGUUGGUAGGAGUAGACAAUCUUUUUAAGUGUACUUUACAAUAUUUUCUCAACAUUUAUAGAAUACUCUUUUUUGCAUCAAGACAAAUACGGAAGAGCUCUGGUAUUCUAUGAAGUUUUUCAAUUAAAAUAUGAAUCACUUUGUAACUAUACUAACUUUUAACCUU